rnacentral:rRNA from 1 species
UGAUGGAACAAUCCCGCCUGAAGGAAAGAAGGGUUUCGGCUCGUAAAACUCUGUUGUUAAAGAAGAACCCCUUUGAGAGUAACUGUUCAAGGGUUGACGGUAUUUAACCAGAAAGCCACGGCUAACUACGUGCCAGCAGCCGCGGUAAUACGUAGGUGGCAAGCGUUGUCCGGAUUUAUUGGGCGUAAAGCGAGCGCAGGCGGUUUUUUAAGUCUGAUGUGAAAGCCUUCGGCUUAACCGGAGAAGUGCAUCGGAAACUGGGAGACUUGAGUGCAGAAGAGGACAGUGGAACUCCAUGUGUAGCGGUGGAAUGCGUAGAUAUAUGGAAGAACACCAGUGGCGAAGGCGGCUGUCUAGUCUGUAACUGACGCUGAGGCUCGAAAGCAUGGGUAGCGAACAGGAUUAGAUACCCUGGUAGUCCAUGCCGUAAACGAUGAGUGCUAAGUGUUGGAGGGUUUCCGCCCUUCAGUGCUGCAGCUAACGCAUUAAGCACUCCGCCUGGGGAGUACGACCGCAAGGUUGAAACUCAAAGGAAUUGACGGGGGCCCGCACAAGCGGUGGAGCAUGUGGUUUAAUUCGAAGCUACGCGAAGAACCUUACCAGGUCUUGACAUCUUCUGCCAAUCUUAGAGAUAAGACGUUCCCUUCGGGGACAGAAUGACAGGUGGUGCAUGGUUGUCGUCAGCUCGUGUCGUGAGAUGUUGGGUUAAGUCCCGCAACGAGCGCAACCCUUAUUAUCAGUUGCCAGCAUUCAGUUGGGCACUCUGGUGAGACUGCCGGUGACAAACCGGAGGAAGGUGGGGAUGACGUCAAAUCAUCAUGCCCCUUAUGACCUGGGCUACACACGUGCUACAAUGGACGGUACAACGAGUUGCGAAGUCGUGAGGCUAAGCUAAUCUCUUAAAGCCGUUCUCAGUUCGGAUUGUAGGCUGCAACUCGCCUACAUGAAGUUGGAAUCGCUAGUAAUCGCGGAUCAGCAUGCCGCGGUGAAUACGUUCCCGGGCCUUGUACACACCGCCCGUCACACCAUGAGAGUUUGUAACACCCAAAGCCGGUGAGAUAACCUUCGGGAGUCAGCCGUCUAAGUGGACAGAGAUGGGA